rnacentral:rRNA from 1 species
UACGAAGGGGGCUAGCGUUGCUCGGAAUCACUGGGCGUAAAGCGCACGUAGGCGGCUUUUUAAGUCAGGGGUGAAAUCCUGGAGCUCAACUCCAGAACUGCCUUUGAUACUGGGAAGCUCGAGUCCGGGAGAGGUGAGUGGAACUCCGAGUGUAGAGGUGAAAUUCGUAGAUAUUCGGAAGAACACCAGUGGCGAAGGCGGCUCACUGGCCCGGUACUGACGCUGAGGUGCGAAAGCUAGGGGAGCAAACGGG